UACGUAGGUGGCAAGCGUUGUCCGGAUUUACUGGGCGUAAAGGGCGUGCAGGCGGUCUGUUAAGUCUAGGGUGAAAGCUCCCGGCUCAACUGGGAGAGGUCCUUGGAUACUGGCAGACUUGAGGAGAGUAGAGGAGAGUGGAAUUCCCGGUGUAGUGGUGAUAUGCGUAGGUAUCGGGAGGAACACCAGUGGCGAAGGCGGCUCUCUGGGCUCUACCUGACGCUGAGACGCGAAAGCGUGGGGAGCGAACGGG
rnacentral:rRNA from 1 species